CCUACGGGGGGCAGCAGUGGGGAAUAUUGGACAAUGGGGGGAACCCUGAUCCAGCCAUGCCGCGUGUGUGAAGAAGGCCCUCGGGUUGUAAAGCACUUUCAGGGAGGAAGAACGCCUGUGGGUUAAUACCCAUCAGGAAAGACAGCACUCACAGAAGAAGCACCGGCUAACUCCGUGCCAGCAGCCGCGGUAAUACGGAGGGUGCGAGCGUUAAUCGGAAUUACUGGGCGUAAAGCGCGCGUAGGUGGCUUGAUAAGCCGGUUGUGAAAGCCCCGGGCUCAACCUGGGAACGGCAUCCGGAACUGUCAAGCUAGAGUGCAGGAGAGGAAGGUAGAAUUCCCGGUGUAGCGGUGAAAUGCGUAGAGAUCGGGAGGAAUACCAGUGGCGAAGGCGGCCUUCUGGACUGACACUGACACUGAGGUGCGAAAGCGUGGGUAGCAAACAGGAUUAGAUACCCCAGUAGUC
rnacentral:rRNA from 1 species